rnacentral:lncRNA from 1 species
GACAAAGCCAAUUUAAAACUUCAGAUACGAUCGCAUUACUACAAAUCAAGUCGGAAGAUAGACGGAAGGUUAGGAAGCACUGGCUAGCUAGGCACGUUGGGUACGUGAGCACCGCAACAACCGAUCGGUCGAGUGCGCGCGUGCAUGGAUCUGGACGACGGCGGCGCGGCAUUAGCAGCGGAUCCCGGUGCCACCUAUAGCUGCUCCAGCGGCUUUCUGGUGGCCGCCGUUGGCGCCGUGUUAGUUGUCGGCGGUGUCCUGGAUGGGCUGCUUGCCUGCUGCAGCCACCCGCGGCAGGCCGGCGGUAUUAGCUGCCGGUGCCAAGGGGUUCCAUGGGCCUUGGUCAUGGAGAUUGUGGUGUUCCUGGCCAUCGGGUGCGGCUUCUGGGCGUUCCUGACCCUCCGCUUCUGCUGUUGCUGCUGGUGGUCCGGCAUCUUGGAUAGGCGCCACGACUGGGUGGUCGAUGAUGUUUAGUUAGUUGGUCAAUUAGAGCUACUAAUUGUUGCACCAUGCAUGCAUUUGAUUACAUUAUUACUGUGUACGUUGACACGAGACCUAUAUAUCUAUUGCACUAGCUUUGGGAAAAACGAGAUCCCAUUGUUUUCACAAGUGGAAGCAUUUUUAUUUGGUCGACACUAGGCGUCGG